CCCCAAACACGAUGAGUAGAUAUCAAACAAUGUCAACUCGCCCCACUUGCCAAUCGGCCCACACUAUAUCGCCACUUUAUAAAAAUAUCGUCCCACUCUUGUUUACCGACUUGCUCACUUUGAAAAAGUGUAAAAUCAAAUUGAACAAUCAGUCUGAAAACUCAUUAAUUAACGAAAAAGGUUAAAACCCCACUGAAUAAAGGUCUGACAACUCGCCCCACUUUAUAAAAAGAUCUUAAUUGCUUCCUUUAAGUAUAUCAAAUUACUAUUAUUUCGUAUCCAGUCGUCCUGGUGUAGUGGUAUGUGUCGCGGCUUGAUAUGCUAAAGGUCUUGAGUUCGAAUCCCAGCAUAUACACUAGAUUUUUUCUACGUGAAUUUGGAUAGAUAGUCUUUUCCGUAUAAUUAAUUAUAAGUUUUAUAGUGGAUUUGACAUUCCCGCCA
rnacentral:lncRNA from 1 species